UACGUAGGUGGCAAGCGUUGUCCGGAAUUAUUGGGCGUAAAGCGCGCGCAGGUGGUUUCUUAAGUCUGAUGUGAAAGCCCACGGCUCAACCGUGGAGGGUCAUUGGAAACUGGGGAACUUGAGUGCAGGAGAGAAGAGUGGAAUUCCACGUGUAGCGGUGAAAUGCGUAGAGAUGUGGAGGAACACCAGUGGCGAAGGCGACUCUUUGGCCUGUAACUGACGCUGAGGCGCGAAAGCGUGGGAGCAAACAGG
rnacentral:rRNA from 1 species